rnacentral:lncRNA from 1 species
GCCACUGAAAAAUCUUGAGAAGACUCCUAUAAAUCCCCCUUCUCCCCCUCAAUAGCCAGCCACGAUCAGCCUUGAGAUCUCUAUCUUCUUCCUUUCGAAAUUUCUCAUUGAAGCUGCCGACCCUGUUCUUGUGUUUGCCUCAAUUUCUCAUCGGAGACCUCACCAGAGUCGAAGGUAAGCCUCGACCCUCCUUCUUCUCUUUCUUUCCCUCUUUUUCAUAGCUUCGUGCACCCUCACAGGCCA